AAGGGCCAUUAACCCUUUCUCUGCCGGGCACACUCAGUCCCCACGCCCCACACCUAUUGUCUCCUGUGCUAGAAGCUUUGCAGAAAACCUGGAAAGGGAAAUCCUGAAAUAAAGAAAUGGUCACACAAGUGUCUGGGAUGAAACAGCUGGCCUGUCUAUAUUCAUCCUGAGACACACGACUGCAUAUAAAUACAUGUUUAAUAAAUUUUGGCCAGAAAUGGUGAGAAGAAAAAGCAUGAAGAAGCCGCGAAGUGUGGGGGAGAAAAAGGUGGAAGCGAAGAAACAGCUCCCGGAGCAAACUGUACAAAAACCUCGCCAAGAGUGUCGGGAGGCAGGACCGUUAUUCCUGCAGAGCAGGAGAGAGACGAGAGACCCUGAAACACGCGCCACCUAUCUUUGUGGGGAGGGAUAAUUGAAGCGCCCUGAGCGUACCAGAGCCAGAAAAAAAAAUGCUGCAUGGGAGCUGCAUCUUAGGGCAUGUGUAUUAGGGUGUGUGC
rnacentral:lncRNA from 1 species